UAAAAAACAGAGUCACCUACAUAAAAAAUCAUUGGAACACACGUGGAAAUCAAAUCCUAGUAUUUUCUAAUAAUUCAUUCAAUGGGAAAAUUACAAGUGAAAGCCUCUAGAUCCUCUUGAUUGGUAAAGCUCGAGUCUGCUCUUAGCUUCAUACAACAAAGCUUCCAUAUCUUCAUCUUCAAGUACAUUAGCUUGCUUCGAUGACCAUUCCAAUACCGUUAACACUUCGUCUUUCGCUAACUGUUCACUGUCUGGAACAUUCAUCGCCACGUAGCUCAGCAAAACCAUCGCCGGAAUCUGUGCUCCGUUCUCUCCGAAAUACGCUAACUGAACCAGAAGCUUUGAUCCUCCAGCUUCGAUGAUUGUCCUCGAGUGUUCUUUCCCUAAAAAGUUAUCCUCCGUCGCGAAUUUCGCUAACGCGAUCGCUACCUCCGCCGCUAAAUCUGGUUCUCCGUCGUCGAGGAGUUUUACCAGAGGCACGAUCAUAUGCGUUUCCGCUGAUUUGAACGUUCUCGCUAGGUUUCCGAUGGAUCUUACACAGGGGAUGAGUAAAUCGGAUCCGGCGUCGGCGUUUUCAACGAUUCGGAAUAACUGGUCAACCACCGCUUUGCACGCCGGUGAAGUGCGUCUGAACGCGGAUCUUCUCAGAUCUGCGUUUUCCUCAGCCACGGCGGUUAUCUCCAUGAUAGCCAUAGCUGUGUUAUACUUAGUCUCUUCGUCUCCUUUGUCUAGUAAAACCGCAAAACAGAGUAAAGCUCGUGACUCGGUGAUGACUCGGCAGAUCGAUGAGUUUCCUACAGCGAGUUUCCAUAACGCUCUCGCCGCCAUCGCUUUCAUAUAAGUCUUCGUCACCGGAUCUUCAAGCUCUCUCCCUCUCGUCACCGACGCGUUUCGCGAUUGAUGUGCGAUACUACCGUAAGCCUUGAUCUGUGAACUCAUACUAUAACUCUUCUCCGGUAUCUUUUCCGGGGGUUUAUCGUCGUCGCCGGUAACAAAUCGGCUAGAAAGAUUCGAUUUCGAUCCUGAUCCAACCGCUUUCAUCGCCAUUGUUGUUGCAACGAUGCUAUGCAUCUGAUUCGUCAUCGGACUCGAGACUCCGAUAUGAUUAUCGUCGUCCUCCUCCUCGUUCAACGCCGUUCUUGACAUUUGGCGUGAUUACCAGAAACAAGCUCUGAAACAGCCCAAGCCACAACGGCUUGAACCUUCAUCGAACCUUCUUUAAGAAUACUUGAAAGCACUGAACAAACACCAAGCUGAAUCAUAUGCUCAACACUUUCCGGGUCACGACCCAGUAACCCGAUUGUUCUCGCUGCGUUUUCUUGACCGUCGAUUUUACCUUCUUUUACAAGUUUCAACAAAGGGUUGACUCCGCCUUCUUCAACUAUCAGUUUCACGUAUCUAUCGUUAUCUCUUGCUAAAGAAGCCAACGACGCGGCGGCGUCUGAUUUAUCUUCCGGCGAACCGGUCAUCAGAACCGCGAUUUGUUCCCAAAUUAAGCACAAGAUUGGUUCGUUGGCUGCGAUUGGCGGGAGACCUAAGUAACCAAACCCUUCGUCGUCAUCGUUACCGGCUGGAGUUGAGACACGGAGGAGCCAAGAGACGUCGCCGACGGAGUUUUCUAGUUGAGAAAUCAUUUUACGGAAUGCUGCGGCGGGGAUUAUGUUGAAAAGUCGCAUUAUGUAGCCAUCGUCACGGCAUCUUUGGACCAUCGUCAAUGCUUUUUCAAGAACGUUUUCAGUGUCGUCGAGGAUACGGCGCGUGGGACGUUCGUAGAGGUCGGAGCUUGCACGGGCCGCUUGACGGAGAAGAGCAGCGAGCUUUUCCGUUUUGGACUUGAUAUCGGCACAUUCUUGUUUGUUGAUUGUGGCUUCAUCUCCGGCUUUCACCACUUGGUCUGCAAGUUGAAUCGGGCGAGACAAUAUCUGCUUGGCUAGAUCACCCAUGGAUAACGAAACUGGUUACGAUCAAGAAAAUCAAAAACGGGUUGAUCUUAAUUUUAAAGAAAAUGAAGAAACAUUUUGUUGGGGUUUGGUUUGGUUUGGUCUUUGAAACACGGUUUCUGUCAUUUCUAAUGUAUUUCUUACAGAACACGCCGGUCGUCGCCGGCUUUCGUUGUCGGAGUAAAUUACUUAUUAGUACAUUUACCAAGUCGUCUUAGCCCUUAUCGUUCUUUUUUUAAUAUUAAGCAUAUUC
rnacentral:lncRNA from 1 species